rnacentral:rRNA from 1 species
UGGGGAAUAUUGCACAAUGGGGGAAACCCUGAUGCAGCGACGCCGCGUGAGCGAUGAAGGCUUUCGAGUCGUAAAGCUCUGUCCUAUGGGAAGAUAAUGACGGUACCUAACCAGAAAGCCACGGCUAACUACGUGCCAGCAGCCGCGGUAAUACGUAGGUGGCAAGCGUUGUCCGGAAUUAUUGGGCGUAAAGCGCGCGCAGGUGGUUUAGAAAGUCUGAUGUGAAAGCCCACGGCUCAACCGUGGAGGGUCAUUGGAAACUAAUAAACUUGAGUGCAGGAGAGAAAAGUGGAAUUCCUAGUGUAGCGGUGAAAUGCGUAGAGAUUAGGAGGAACACCGGUGGCGAAAGCGGCUUUUUGGCCUGCAACUGACACUGAGGCGCGAAAGCGUGGGGAGCAAACAGG